rnacentral:rRNA from 1 species
GACGAACGCUGGCGGCGUGCUUAACACAUGCAAGUCGAACGGAAAGGCCCUGCUUUUGUGGGGUGCUCGAGUGGCGAACGGGUGAGUAACACGUGAGUAACCUGCCCUUGACUUUGGGAUAACUUCAGGAAACUGGGGCUAAUACCGGAUAGGAGCUCCUGCUGCAUGGUGGGGGUUGGAAAGUUUCGGCGGUUGGGGAUGGACUCGCGGCUUAUCAGCUUGUUGGUGGGGUAGAGGCUUACCAAGGCUUUGACGGGUAGCCGGCCUGAGAGGGUGACCGGCCACAUUGGGACUGAGAUACGGCCCAGACUCCUACGGGAGGCAGCAGUGGGGAAUAUUGCACAAUGGGCGGAAGCCUGAUGCAGCAACGCCGCGUGCGGGAUGACGGCCUUCGGGUUGUAAACCGCUUUCGCCUGUGACGAAGCGUGAGUGACGGUAAUGGGUAAAGAAGCACCGGCUAACUACGUG